AAGUUAGUUUCGUCUUUCAUAGUAUUGCUACUGUGUUCUUCAUACGUUGCUCCACGUGAGAAUAUGUACUAUCGUGGACAAAUGAAACGUGAACUGCCGAGCGCACGGCCUAUAGCACAAUCAGCGCAACCUGCUGGCCAUGCUCAAUUCAGGUGGUUAGUGCAAGAGUACGUGUCCGACUGCGAUAUGUUCGACUGCGGCUUCCUGUGUGCUAGUUUUGUCAUACCGCCGCGCCGCUGAUAUCGCCGUCAAAGCAGCUGUUCGUGCCAUGUUUGCUUUGUUCGUUAUCAAGCGUGGCUUUUCAUUUGUGUAUUUUUGCAACCAUCGUCUCCUUACUAUCACCGACACUUUAACUGCUGGAAUUGGCAGCACUGCUCCUGCCACUCAACUGUAUCGUAAAAAACACCGCUUGCACAAGAGCCACAUCUUAAUGGGGCAGUGUUGCCGUGUCGGUGCUAUAGCGUAUAACUGCAGGAACCGGUGCUCCUAAGGCCAAUGGAACUCAGCCAUGCCUGGUGUAUCCACAGAAGACCCGACUUCAGAUGAUUGGUCUUUACCGGUACAAUAUGCCGCAGCGUGAUAUUACCAGCAUUACAGGCCGCCAGUUGGCGAUUGUUAAUUGGAUUCUCCAGGCGUACCGUGGCGAGGGAUAGCUUGGAAAUCUACCUCUUGGACACAGACGUCGAGCUACGACAGAGGACCGAGAUCUUCAAAUCGUGGCAUGUGCAGCUGAAGCCCCAUUUUUCACAUCGAGGGGAAUAGUUCACGAACUUCGUAUGGACGCUAGCUCAAAAACCGUGUGAACACGGUUGCACGAAGCAAACCUCGAAAAUAGGGCGCCUGCACAAGAACCUCUGCUCUCGGAGGCCAACAGGCACGCAUGGCUUUUAUUUUCUGAAGAGCAUUUGUCAAAGACAGCUAUGGACUGGAGUUAUGUUCACAGAUGAAUCCACGUUUUCCUCACGAUGGGACCAGCGCCAGCGCAUAUGGUGAACAGAAAACACCACGUAUAUUUGUUCUCUUGAUAAUACCCUAUUUACUUCAGACAUUUAAUCCUUUUGCAAACUAGUUCCAGCUGCUUUCUUAGCCGAAAUAAACAGAUGAAUCGCACAUCAUUAUUUGGAAUAGGGGGCCAUUUUUCCGUAUCAAGUGCUUCCACUUGCAAGGCAUCUGCCAAUGCUACCCAAUGCACCAAACAAUUUUCUUUUGCAGGUUCGAGCCACGUAACCUCCCGUGUCAGUAGUGGCCGGUGCGCUGUCAGCGUCUGGGGAGCCCUUUCCAAGGAUGGCAUAAGUCCACUCAUCUGCCUAGAAGUCGAGUUAACCGUCGAAGUGUAUCGAAGGAUCAUUGAGGGCGUUACCAUUCCGUAUGCUCCUGAAGGCCCGUUCUCAGAUGGCCUAUUUUACCUGCAGCAUGAUCGCAGCCCAAUACACAUGGCCCGAUCAGUAAGCAAACUAACAAAAGAACUGGGAGUGAUGCAUCUCGAUUGGCCCGCUCAUGGUGCCGACAUGAACCUAUCUGGAAUCUACGCCAGAUCAGCAUCUUCUAGCACAUUUCACAGGUUUCACAGUGUCACGUGUAAAUAAAGAAAACGGUGUUAAUCAC
rnacentral:lncRNA from 1 species